GCAUAUCAAUAAGCGGAGGAAAAGAAACCAACAGGGAUUGCCCCUAGUAACGGCGAGUGAAGCGGCAACAGCUCAAAUUUGAAAUCUGGCCCUCGUGGUCCGAGUUGUAAUUUGUAGAGGAUGCUUUUGGUUAGGUGCCUUCCGAGUUCCCUGGAACGGGACGCCAUAGAGGGUGAGAGCCCCGUCUGGUUGGACACCGAGCCUCUGUAAAGCUCCUUCGACGAGUCGAGUAGUUUGGGAAUGCUGCUCUAAAUGGGAGGUAUAUGUCUUCUAAAGCUAAAUAUUGGCCAGAGACCGAUAGCGCACAAGUAGAGUGAUCGAAAGAUGAAAAGCACUUUGAAAAGAGGGUUAAAAAGUACGUGAAAUUGUUGAAAGGGAAGCGCUUGUGACCAGACUUGGGCCCGGUCAAUCAUCCAGGGUUCUCCCUGGUGCACUUGGCCGGCCCAGGCCAGCAUCAGUUUGUCGCGGGGGAUAAAGACGUUGGGAAUGUGGCUCCUCCGGGAGUGUUAUAGCCCUUCGUGUAAUACCCUGCUUCGGACUGAGGUUCGCGCAUCUGCAAGGAUGCUGGCGUAAUGGUCAUCAGCGACCCGUCUUGAAACACGGACCAAGGAGUCGUCUUCGUAUGCGAGUGUUCGGGUGUCAAACCCCUACGCGUAAUGAAAGUGAACGCAGGUGAGAGCUUCGGCGCAUCAUCGACCGAUCCUGAUGUUCUCGGAUGGAUUUGAGUAAGAGCAUACGGGGCCGGACCCGAAAGAAGGUGAACUAUGCCUGUAUAGGGUGAAGCCAGAGGAAACUCUGGUGGAGGCUCGCAGCGGUUCUGACGUGCAAAUCGAUCGUCAAAUAUGGGCAUGGGGGCGAAAGACUAAUCGAACCUUCUAGUAGCUGGUUUCCGCCGA
rnacentral:rRNA from 1 species